rnacentral:rRNA from 1 species
UCAAGAAACUUCCACAAUGGGCGAAAGCCUGAUCCAGCCAUGCCGCGUGAGUGACGAAGGCCUUAGGGUUGUAAAACUCUUUCGUCGGGGACGAUAAUGACGGUACCCGAAGAAGAAGCUCCGGCUAACUUCGUGCCAGCAGCCACGGUAAUACGAAGGGAGCUAGCGUUGUUCGGAAUCACUGGGCGUAAAGCGCACGUAGGCGGAUAGUUAAGUCAGGGGUGAAAUCCUGGGGCUCAACCCCAGAACUGCCUUUGAUACUGGCUGUCUCGAGGUCGAGAGAGGUUGGUGGAAUUCCUAGUGUAGAGGUGAAAUUCGUAGAUAUUAGGAAGAACACCAGUGGCGAAGGCGGCCAACUGGCUCGAUACUGACGCUGAGGUGCGAAAGCGUGGGGAGCAAAC